AUACGUAGGGGGCGAGCGUUGUCCGGAAUGAUUGGGCGUAAAGGGCGCGUAGGCGGCCCGGUAAGUCUGGAGUGAAAGUCCUGUUUUUAAGAUGGGAAUUGCUUUGGAUACUGUCGGGCUUGAGUGCAGGAGAGGUAAGUGGAAUUCCCAGUGUAGCGGUGAAAUGCGUAGAGAUUGGGAGGAACACCAGUGGCGAAGGCGACUUACUGGACUGUAACUGACGCUGAGGCUCGAAAGUGUGGGGAGCAAACAGGAUUAGAUACCCUGGUAGUCCACACUGUAAACGAUGAAUGCUGGGUGUAGGGGGUAUCGACCCCUUCUGUGCCGCAGUCAACACAAUAAGCAUUCCGCCUGGGGAGUACGGCCGCAAGGUUGAAACUCAAAGGAAUUGACGGGG
rnacentral:rRNA from 1 species